AUGCACCGAAGCUGCGGCAGCGAACGUAUCACUUAAAGCGAUUCAGCGGGUUACGAUUGACGGAGCGAAGCGACGUCAAAGCGUAUACAAAGUCGAGUCGGUUUAAGGAUACGUUCGUUGGGUAGGGGAGCGUUCUGUAAGCCUGUGAAGGUGGCCUGUGAGGGUUGCUGGAGGUAUCAGAAGUGCGAAUGCUGACAUAAGUAACGAUAAAGCGGGUGAAAAGCCCGCUCGCCGGAAGACCAAGGGUUCCUGUCCAACGUUAAUCGGGGCAGGGUGAGUCGACCCCUAAGGCGAGGCCGAAAGGCGUAGUCGAUGGGAAACGGGUUAAUAUUCCCGUACUUGGUGUUACUGCGAAGGGGGGACGGAGAAGGCUAUGUUGGCCGGGCGACGGUUGUCCCGGUUUAAGCGUGUAGGUGUGUGUUCCAGGUAAAUCCGGUU
rnacentral:rRNA from 1 species